rnacentral:rRNA from 1 species
UACGAGAGGCCCAAACGUUAUUCGGAAUUACUGGGCUUAAAGAGUUCGUAGGCGGCAUUGCAAGUAGGGUGUGAAAGCCCUCGGCUCAACCGAGGAAUUGCGCUCUAAACUGCAGUGCUUGAGGAACCUAGAGGUGAGCAGAACAGAUGGUGGAGCGGUGAAAUGCGUAGAGAUCCGGAAGAACACCGGUGGCGAAGGCGGUCUGCUGGGCAGUUGCUGACACUGAGGCGCGACAGCGUGGGGAGCAAACAGG